rnacentral:rRNA from 1 species
UACGAAGGGCGCAAGCGUUAUCCGGAAUUAUUGGGCGUAAAGAGCUCGUAGGCGGUUUGUCGCGUCUGCCGUGAAAGUCCGGGGCAUAACCCGGGAUCUGCGGUCGGUACGGGCAGACUAGAGUGCAGUAGGGGAGACUGGAAUACCGGGUGUAGCGGUGAAAUGCGCAGAUAGCAGGAGGAACACCGAUGGCGAAGGCAGGU